GUGUUCGCUUAGGCAGCACAUAUAUUAAAAUUGUAACGAUACAGGGAAGAUCAGCAUGGCCCCUGCGCAAGAAUGAUUUUGAAAAGCAGAUGGAAAUUUGGGAGUUCC